rnacentral:lncRNA from 1 species
UUUGCUUGGUUGUUGUUCAAGACUUCUAAGCACCCUCAAGUGAGUACAUAGUCCCCUCUUUUACUGUUUUUCAAACAUUUUGGGAUGAAAGACAUGUACCAUAGUUGAUGAUGUUUGAUGAUGAUACUUGUGUACGCUCACAUAGGAAUGGACGAGGCCUUAGUGACUUAACAACAAUGAAAGUUUAUUUGUUCCUGUUUUGUUUCUAAUUCCAAUGUAAUGUAUUACAUUUAAUUCAAUAAAACGAAAUUGUUUAAUCCAUGGUUGUGAAACAAUGAUUCUGUUACAACACUCC